GACGAACGCUGGCGGCGUGCUUAACACAUGCAAGUCGAACGGAAAGGCCCUGCUUUUGUGGGGUGCUCGAGUGGCGAACGGGUGAGUAACACGUGAGUAACCUGCCCUUGACUUUGGGAUAACUUCAGGAAACUGGGGCUAAUACCGGAUAUGAGCUCCUGCUGCAUGGUGGGGGUUGGAAAGUUUCGGCGGUUGGGGAUGGACUCGCGGCUUAUCAGCUUGUUGGUGGGGUAGUGGCUUACCAAGGCUUUGACGGGUAGCCGGCCUGAGAGGGUGACCGGCCACAUUGGGACUGAGAUACGGACCAGACUGCUACGGGAGGCAGCAGUGGGGAAUAUUGCACAAUGGGCGGAAGCCUGAUGCAGCAACGCCGCGUGCGGGAUGCCGGCCUUCGGGUUGUAAACCGCUUUCGACUGUGACGAAGCGUGAGUGACGGUAAUGGGUAAAGAAGCAACGGCUAACUACGUG
rnacentral:rRNA from 1 species